rnacentral:rRNA from 1 species
GUGCCAGCAGCCGCGGUAAUACAGAAGUGGCAAGCGUUGUUCGGAUUUACUGGGCGUAAAGGGUGCGUAGGCGGUUUCGUAUGUCGGACGUGAAAUCCCAUUGCUUAACGAUGGAACUGCGUUCGAAACUGCGGGACUUGAGUGCAGGAGAGGAGAGCGGAAUUCUUGGUGUAGCGGUGAAAUGCGUUGAUAUCAAGAAGAACACCGGUGGCGAAGGCGGCUCUCUGGAAUGUUACUGACGCUGAGGCACGAAAGCGUGGGGAGCAAACAGGAUUAGAUACCCUGGUAGUCC